GGAUGUGUAGAUUGGGCUUCCCCUUCAGCCUGGGUCCUGGCGUGAAGGUGCUGUGAAGCAGAGCUAAUGCUAGCCUGGGAAAGCCAUGAAAGAUGAACAAGAACUCCGGGUUCAGUUUUGUAAGCCAAUGAGAUUUUUGCAUCAGUGUUCCCACUACAUGGCUUGCCUGAAUUGAUUAAGGCAAUUCUUAGAACACUAAGUGGAGACCUGCUAUGGAAAAAAACAAAACAAACAAAACACGUGGCAUUAGCUUUAAGGUGAUGCUGGAGGCUGGGAUGGUGCAUGAACAGAAUUCUGAAUUAGGCUGGGGUCUCAGAAGCUUGCCACAUGAUGAGAGCAGGCUGAGAGGUCUGUGACAAGAAGAACUGCUGUGAGAGCCAGCAUCAUUUGUAGUAGCCGCGACAUGGAAGCCACCUAAGG